rnacentral:rRNA from 1 species
AUUCCAGCUCCAAUAGCGUAUAUUAAAGUUGUUGCAGUUAAAAAGCUCGUAGUUGGAUUUCUGGCGGGAUGAACACGCCCUCAGCUGAGUGUGCAUGAGCGUCUCACCAUCCUUCUGUUAACCCUUAAGGUUUUAACGACCUUCUGGGGGCUCAGAUAUUUUACCUUGAGAAAAUUAGAGUGUUUCAGGCAGGCUAGCGCCGGGAUACAUUAGCAUGGAAUAAUGGAAUAGGACUAUGGUACUAUUUUGUUGGUUUGUGCACCAUGGUAAUGAUUAAUAGGGACAGUUGGGGGUAUUCGUAUUCCAUGUCAGAGGUGAAAUUCUUGGAUUUAUGGAAGACGAACUACUGCGAAAGCAUUUACCAAGGAUGUUUUCAUUG